CUGCUGCCUUCCGUAGGAGUUUGGGCCGUGUCUCAGUCCCAAUGUGGCCGUUCACCCUCUCAGGCCGGCUACUGAUCGUCGCCUUGGUGGGCCUUUACCCCGCCAACUAGCUAAUCAGACGCGGAUCCAUCGUAUACCACCAAAAGCUUUAGCUUUUUGUUUUCCACACUGCUUCAUGCGAAGCUGUGCGCUUAUGCGGUAUUAGCACCUAUUUCUAAGUGUUAUCCCCCAGUAUACGGCAGGUUCUCCACGUCG
rnacentral:rRNA from 1 species